UACAGAGGUCUCAAGCGUUGUUCGGAUUCAUUGGGCGUAAAGGGUGCGUAGGCGGCGCGGUAAGUCGGGUGUGAAAUCUCGGGGCUUAACUCCGAAACUGCAUUCGAUACUGCGGUGCUUGAGGACUGGAGUGGAGACUGGAAUUUACGGUGUAGCGGUGAAAUGCGUAGAUAUCGUAAGGAAGACCAGUGGCGAAGGCGGGUCUCUGGACAGUUCCUGACGCUGAGGCACGAAGGCCAGGGGAGCAAACGGG
rnacentral:rRNA from 1 species